UACGGAGGGUGCAAGCGUUGUCCGGAAUCACUGGGCGUAAAGGGCGCGUAGGCGGCUCAUGAAGGCUGUGGUGAAAGUCCGGGGCUCAACCUCGGAUCGGCCGUGGCGACUCGUGGGCUGGAGCACUGUAGAGGCGGGUGGAAUUCCCGGUGUAGCGGUGAAAUGCGCAGAUAUCGGGAGGAACACCAAUUGCGAAGGCAGCUCGCUGGGACGUCACUGACGCUGAGACGCGAAAGCGUGGGGAGCAAACAGG
rnacentral:rRNA from 1 species